CCUACGGGAGGCAGCAGUGAGGGAUAUUGCGCAAUGGGCGAAAGCCUGACGCAGCGACGCCGCGUGGAGGAUGAAGGCCUUCGGGUUGUAAACUCCUGUUAGAGGGGAAGAAGCCCCGCAAGGGGAUGACGGUACCCUCAGAGGAAGCCCCGGCUAACUACGUGCCAGCAGCCGCGGUAAUACGUAGGGUGCAAGCGUUGUCCGGAUUCACUGGGUGUAAAGGGUGCGCAGGCGGGCUCUUAAGUCAAAGGUAAAAUCUCUCGGCUUAACCGAGAAAUUGCCUUUGAUACUGAGAGCCUUGAGUACGGGAGAGGGAGAUGAAAUUCCAGGUGUAGCGGUGAAAUGCGUAGAUAUCUGGAGGAACACCGGAGGCGAGGGCG
rnacentral:rRNA from 1 species